GUCUCCUUGAAUAUAAUUGUAUAGGGAGUCGGACCUGCCCGGUGACUAAAUGUUAAACGGCCGCGGUACCCUAACCGUGCAAAGGUAGCAUAAUCAUUUGCCUUUUAAUUGGAGGCUGGUAUGAAUGGUUUAACGAAAGCUAAACUGUCUCUUUUGGGAUAAAUAGAAUUUAACUUUUAGGUGAAGAGGCCUAAAUUUAUUUGAGGGACAAGAAGACCCUAUUGAGCUUUAAUGUAGCUGUAAGUGUAGUAAAGAUAAAAAUAAAAAUUUUUGAGGGUGUAUAUUUUAAUAUAAUUCUUUUUGCAGUAAAUUUUUAGUUGGGGCGACUGAGGAACAAAAAAAGCUUCCUUAAUAAUUUUAAAAAUAAUAAUUUGAAAUUUAUAUUAUUUUUACUUAAUAGAUUUGAUCCAAAAUUUUUGAUCAAUGGAAAAAGUUACCAUAGGGAUAACAGCGUAAUCUUUCUGGAGAGAUCUAAUCGAAAGAAGGGUUUGCGACCUCGAUGUUGGACUAAGAUAUCCAGAGGGUGUAGAAGUUCUCGAAGGUUGGUCUGUUCGACCAUUAAAAUCUU
rnacentral:rRNA from 1 species